UUAAACCAAAGGGUAACUGGCCAGCACUCAAUCCACUGAGCCACAGCAGCCAGAGCUGUGAUGGCUUUUUUUGAGGUACUAUCUUAGCUAUAAUUCCAGUUAUUUAAUCAAGCCCAGAACUGUAAGGGGGCUCCCCAAAUCCCUGCCUGCUGCAGUCAGCCUUUUAUAGUUUCUUCCCCUUGGUGGAGAGGUGGGACUGUGAAUCACAGGAUGGAUCUCAUUCCUGUGAUCGUUGUGUCAUGUGGCAAAAGGGAUUUUGCUGGUGUGAUUAAGGUCCUCAAUCAGCUGACUUUAAGAAACAGAGAUAGUCCUUGGGAGAAGGCUAACUUCAUCAAUUGAGCCCUUAAAAGGGUGUGUGCUCUUCCUGGCAAAAGAAAUCCAACAUGUGAGAAGGUUUCGAUAAGAGGGAGAUUUUCCUUUGCUGGCUUUAAGUACAGAAGAGGCUAUGUGGCAAGGAACGGGGCAGCCUCUAGCAACCGAGAAAAGCCCUUAGCACACACCCAGCACUAGAAACACAGCCCUCAGUCCUACGGCCACAAGGAACUGAAUUCUGCCACAAUCAUGUGAGCCUGGAACAGGACCCCGGCCUCCAUACGAGAACACAGCCUGGCCCACGCCUGGAUUUUAAAGCCCUGCCACACCUCAACCAGAACUGCGAUUUACAGAUCUGUGAGCUAAUAAAUGGGUAUUGCGUUAAGCUGCUUUUUUUUGGUGGUUAUUUGUUAUGCAGUGCUAGAAAACUAAUCUAAGGAUCUUGUGAUGCCUUCAUGUCAACAUUAUGAACA